rnacentral:rRNA from 1 species
GUACCCUAGAGUGGGGGAUAACGUAGCGAAAGUUACGCUAAUACCGCAUACGAUCUACGGAUGAAAGUGGGGGAUCGCAAGACCUCAUGCUCGUGGAGCGGCCGAUAUCUGAUUAGCUAGUUGGUAGGGUAAAAGCCUACCAAGGCAUCGAUCAGUAGCUGGUCUGAGAGGACGACCAGCCACACUGUGUUUGAGAAACGGUCCAGGCUCGUACGGGAGGCAGCAGUGGGGAAUGGGGGACAAUGGGCGAAAGCC